rnacentral:lncRNA from 1 species
CUUCAGAGUGUGUGCUCUCCUGUGGAUGACCAACUCUGGGCUAUUUUUCCCUGCUUCCUUGCAAACAUAACUUUAACUUCAGACAUCUGCACUUUAGGGAACAAGAGCACAGUGCAAAGGUUACGCAUCAUCCCGUGAAGAAAAGCUGCUCGGUCGCUGGGCUUGGGGCGCCUGUGUUUCUGGACCCAGGCCUCGGCCCAUGAGGCCAUGGAGUGCACCAUUCGCCUCUUC